rnacentral:rRNA from 1 species
UNCUAUANAUGCAGUCGAGCGGACUUGAUGGAGUGCUUGCACUCCUGAGAGUUAGCGGCGGACGGGUGAGUAACACGUAGGCAACCUGCCCUCAAGACUGGGAUAACUACCGGAAACGGUAGCUAAUACCGGAUAAUUUAUUUCNCAGCAUUGUGGAAUAAUGAAAGACGGAGCAAUCUGUCACUUGGGGAUGGGCCUGCGGCGCAUUAGCUAGUUGGUGGGGUAAUGGCUCACCAAGGCGACGAUGCGUAGCCGACCUGAGAGGGUGAACGGCCACACUGGGACUGAGACACGGCCCAGACUCCUACGGGAGGCAGCAGUAGGGAAUCUUCCGCAAUGGGCGAAAGCCUGACGGAGCAACGCCGCGUGAGUGAUGAAGGUUUUCGGAUCGUAAAGCUCUGUUGCCAAGGAAGAACGUCUUCUAGAGUAACUGCUAGGAGAGUGACGGUACUUGAGAAGAAAGCCCCGGCUAACUACGUGCCAGCAGCCGCGGUAAUACGUAGGGGGCAAGCGUUGUCCGGAAUUAUUGGGCGUAAAGCGCGCGCAGGCGGUUCUUUAAGUCUGGUGUUUAAACCCGAGGCUCAACUUCGGGUCGCACUGGAAACUGGGGGACUUGAGUGCAGAAGAGGAGAGUGGAAUUCCACGUGUAGCGGUGAAAUGCGUAGAA